GGACUGGUCGAGUCCCACGCUCCCUUUCCUGCGAGCUCUUCUUCCUCGUGGUCUUCCAUCCUGCCGCCAGCCGCCGCCUACUGCUUCUCCCGCUGGCCGCUGCCGGAUCUCCUCUCGCCCCACUACUACCUUCUUUUCCCCCAUCAUCGGCCGUCUCCAGGUCUCCUUCACCACCGGCACCUCCUUCUCCCCAUGGCCCACUGCCCCGCCAACUCCUCCGCCGCCGGUCCACCUUCUACGCGUGCUGCGCCGCAGGCUUCACCGAUUCUCCACUCCCUCGUGAGAUUGAUGCCUCUGCCCUCUGCCUUCUCACCCCUCCUCCACCCUAAAGCUAUGCCUACUGCAGCAAGGCAGAGAGGUCCAUCCCCCAAACCAGCAAAAUGUGGGGGCUGAUGAGAUUUGCUACUGGUACGUAGAUCGGGACGGCUGAUCAAUGGUCGAGAUUCAUAAUUGGUGCCAUGCCAACAGAGAUAUUUGCAGCAUGAGGAUGGAUAUUGAUCAGUCCUACCAUACCCCUGCAAAUGAGGCUUUGCAUGCUGGGGGUUCUUGUUGGAUAUCCACCAAGAGAACCGACAAUUUGGAAAAAGUAAGGAGCUCUGUUCGGUCUCAGGAUGGUUUGCGUGCAUGAGGUCUUGGAACAGUGGCAUCAGACAAUGAUUAAUAGCAGUAAGAUUUUUGAACCAUUGCCGAAGCUGAGGGUGUUGUCUUAUUGUGUAAUGGAUAACCCUCAUUUAGAUCUGGAGUGAGGUGAUAGGAAUAGUAAGCAACAGUAGGAAACCAACGCAAUCUCUUACUAUAUAGUUGUGUGAAGAUGCUCAUCUAUCCUUCAGCAACUGCAAAUUUCUUAAUCCGAUACAAGAACCAGGUCAUAAGCAUUAGUGACACCAUUUAAUUAAGCAAAUGAUCAUGUUUGUACCUUUCAGCUGAGCCAAAGAUUCUAAUAUAUUUCUGUUUAGAAUAGGAAAUGAUUUUUAUGCGAGAAACUGCUUUUUGUAGAAAAAAACUUCUGUUAGCAACUAAAUCGAUUUUUUUUUUUGCUCGAACAUAAUAAAUCGUAUUAAGAUUGCAUUGCAGACCAUAUGCUCCAUUGCCUAUUGUUAGUGCUUUCAGAAGUACCCCCAGUCUCAUGCUUUUAUGUAGUACAUUGGCUCUACAAUCUACACUGGCUCACUAGCGAGCUGGAAAUGUUUUGUGUAAAUAUAAUGUAGCCUUUGGCUAUUUCUCAAGCAUCAGAAGUGCCAUAGGAUAGAUGGAUUGAUAGCCGAAGUUUACUGACGAUGUAGUCCUGGAUCAUGGUGAACUUGUGCUGCCAUUUUGGCUGGAUGUUAUGUGUGCGCACCUGCAUAUCCAAAACAUUAACGUGUGCAUCAAAGGCGCUCGCUCGCGCGUGCCAUGUCAUCAGGUCGAUCGGGUGUGAGGGUUGGCGAGGAGAAAAAACAGAUCGAAAAAAAGAAGAUGGUCGAUUGGGCAGCGGCCAGAUAACGCCUCCACUGCUUUCUCUUCCCCACAAAGCAAACCCUCACCUCCCAGGUUCACACGCAACCUCCGCUCGUCUCCUUGUUUCUCUCCUCCGCCUCUUCCUCCGGGUGUACUUGCGGCUGCAGCGGGAUGGGAGUAAAGGGGGCGAGCAGGAUGGGUGGCCAGCUGAUUUCUUCGAAGGAUCUGGAGCCCAGCGGAGGACCGGGAGUGGGGGCGAUGGCCAGGCCUGGUGGUGACGGGACGAUUUAGUGGUCGGAGGCGCUACAUCGGAUGCCAGUCAGUCUGCAACGACUCCAGCGCCAGUGUGCCCCUUGGCACCUCCCGCGCCAAGGUUGGAGGGCCGGGUCUCCUCAGAAUCAUUUGAGAUCGUCACACCAGUUUCUUCUAAAGCUGUAUUUGAAGCUAAAAGGAUGGUGCUUCUGUUCUUUGAUUGAUAUUUUAUCCCAGCAUCAUCGGAAACUAACUACUUGAUAUUUUGGGAAGAGAUGUGAAAUGCUCAACUUAGGAGGGAGCAUAGACAAGGAAUCUGAAGUUGGAAAGAAACAACUGGAUAUCAAAGCAAAAGGAUCACGUCUCCUCUUAGAAAUCAGCUAACUAUUCUAAUUCUGGAGACUCUUAUGGCCCUAGAUCUGCCAGGCAGUUGCAAUUGUUGCUUUAGUCAAACUAAAAAAUUGUUAACUUUGCAGUGUAAGCGGACCCUUUAGCAGGAGAGCAACACAACUGCUAGCUUCCCUUACAGGAGAUGGAUACGAAGUCCGUGGAGGGUCAGAAUACAAAGCUCUACUAGGUGAUGGAGCUGGAGAAGUUGAGUACUUCCAGUCUCUUGACGAACGAAUCAUUAAAUGAAGGGAGUUUCUGAUCCUAUUAAAUGUCAUUGCGGACUGGAGUACAAUGUAGAACUAGGCAGGGAUGCCAUGGGUGCAAGAUGAACUCAUUAUAUAGAUGACCACAGGUCCAGUGUGUUUAAAGUAUGCAUAUGUGCGGCUGCCGUAUGUACAGCUUGACAACUCCAUAUAGAGAAACUGGAUAAAGUGCCAGUGCCGCAGGAGCAAAACAGCGCCCCAGAUGAAACCAACACGGAUGACGAUUAACUUCUCUGACCUUAAUCACAUCAAUGAGUGAACUUUCUUGUAAUCCUUUUUCCUGACACUAUAAGGCAAUGGCUUAGCCUGAUAUUUUGGUAGUUGUGUAAGUUGAAACAUGAUGCUAAGCCGAACAAUUUAUUGUCCUUUUUUCGCAUGAUAUCACAUUUUGGUAGUUGUGAAGCCUAAACCAUGAUGCUUUUGCUACUGCUGUAGUCCCUAAUGAAAUUGUGAGAUAAUGUAGUUAAGCUAAGUUUCUUUUGUUUCAAUAAAACAGAUGCUGGUAGUUGCAUAAGUUGAACCAUGAUGCUGGUUAAGCUAAUCUCAUUGAUUGCACUCCCAAAAAUCACAGGAGCCAUUCAGAAAAAGAUUAGUAGAAUUCUUUACUGUUGAAAUUUCUGAGGGGAUUUAUGGAAGAUCACAGGACGAUAUUUCGGGAGUCUAAUGAUCACAGUGCAUUUGAUAUUGAUGGCUUGGGAAAUCAUAUGGCGAUAGGGUCUGAUGAUGUCUGAUGAAGGAAUAGUCACAAGCAGAGAUGGCCUAAAGGCAUCUUGGAUACAACUGUUCUUUUAGUAUGCCAUUGACGGACAUAAGUCGAUGUUUUCAGUCAGGAUGAGCUUUGAUUCUAAAUGAUAUUAGAUAUGCACUCAUGUACUUUCUACAUGAUUUUUCUUUGGUUUAUUCAGUCUCUUGGGGUGCUCAUAGAAGUAGGGUUGCGUAUGUUCAUACGCUUGUUGUGAGGGUCUUCGUCUGUAUAAGUGUUUCUAAAUAGACUUAAGUUUAUUAAAUUCCAUAUAGGUAAUCCUUAUUAUUGAAUAAUAGUAUUAUUUGAAAGGGUUCA